GAGGGUAUAGCUCAAGUGGCAGACUGCAUGCUUAGCAUGCAUGAGGUCCUGGGUUCAAUCCCCAGUGCCUCCU
rnacentral:tRNA from 1 species